rnacentral:rRNA from 1 species
CGUCGCAAGACGGGAGUGGCAGACGGGUGAGUAACGCGUGGGAACAUACCCCUCGGUUCGGAAUAACUCAGGGAAACUUGAGCUAAUACCGAAUGUGCCCUUCGGGGGAAAGAUUUAUCGCCAUUAGAGCGGCCCGCGUCUGAUUAGCUUGUUGGUGGGGUAAUGGCCCACCAAGGCUACGAUCAGUAGCUGGUCUGAGAGGAUGAUCAGCCACACUGGGACUGAGACACGGCCCAGACUCCUACGGGAGGCAGCAGUAGGGAAUCUUGCGCAAUGGGCGAAAGCCUGACGCAGCCAUGCCGCGUGAAUGAUGAAGGUCUUAGGA